CUAGGUUGCCAAUUGGGCCCUUAUUACAACUUGAACUAAACCUAACUAAAGCCCUUUUAGUUGAUUAACCCAAAACAUAUUUUUUGUCAGCCAACUUUACAAGGAUUGGGCCAUUAUAUAGACAAACUAAACACUCUAAAAUUGAAACAAAGUGAUGUCAUUUAGUCCUCCUCCAUUUGGGCCAUGAUACAACUCACAACCUUG
rnacentral:lncRNA from 1 species